ensembl:lncRNA
AAAAAAGGUGGGUGUUAAGAGAGAGUGAGAGAGAGAGACGAAAAAAGAUAGACUGGAUAAAUAAAUAUUGGUUACAUAAUUCUGUGUUUGUCAAUCUCAGAAAUUCUCAGAAUGUCAUUGACUUUGAAAACACAAUUUUUUAAAAUUUUUAUUUAUGAAAUAUUAAAUUAUUUUUUUGUACUUGCACCACGUUUGCACCAUUUUCCUAGAACGACAAAUCCUGACAUUUGGAUUCAUGCGCAAUAAGCAUAGAAAAAACAAGACUGUAAUACUUUCACAUUGCUACAUAAAUGGUGAAUUCAAAUAUUAUCCCUCUGUCACUCUUACAUCAUGACCAGUGCAGCUAUCUAAAACUCACAGCUCAUUGUUGACCUUUUACAAUAUCAGCACAAAUGCUCUCUAUGUUGUCUGAUUAUGUUGGAAUUGGUUGCACAGUUCCAAAGUCCAAAAUAACUAACAAAUGAGGACCCCAGGCUGAGAUCAGAGGCCUAACGCUCGGUUGUUGCCACACUCUCUGUGUGUUGGCUCGCCUCAAGUCUUAGGGCUCGCUGAGUCAGAGGCAUUUGAAAUGUUCCCACUUUCCCAAGAGAGCAGUGAAGAUGGUCCAACAACUCAGGCUGUGAAACUUCCAAGGAGCCAGAACGAGCCUUUGAAGCGGUGAGGAAAAACAAGCAGCUCGUUUUGUGUGUUCACACCCCACCAUACACUCACAGCAAGAGAGACAGACAGGACAAGGAGAGAAAACCAGAGGACAUUAGUGUGUUUCCAUACUCUCCACACAGGUUACUUCAAGACUUGCAUACAGGAGCACAUCAUCUGAGAUUUCAGCUGUCACUGAAGAGCCAAGUCUGUAAUUAAGCCUCCAUUCAGGAAAUACAUAAAUAACCAACAGAUAGAGAACGCACCGAAACCAAUUUUCCUCCAAAAGACAUAACGAUGAUUAAUAGAGACAUUAAUUCAGAAGAGGCAUUAAUAUAUGGAAAGAGAAGAGUUCACCUGGAGCAAUACAAUGUCCAUUCUAGGUUCGAUUCCUGGAUGGUCUGGCUCUCUGAGGGCAGUGGUAG